GCCUCCGUAGCUUAGCAGGUAGAGCGCACGACUGUUAAUCGUGAGGUCGGCAGUUCGAGUCUGCCCGGAGGCG
rnacentral:tRNA from 1 species